CGCUUUGCUCUUCCUUUGUCUUCUGCCAUGAUUGUGAGGCCUCCCCAGCCAUGUGGAACUGUGAGUCCAUUGAAAUCCAGUCUGAGAACCCAGACACCAUGUGAAGAAGCCAAGGCUGGUCUCUGGAGACACAUGGCCCAGCUAACAGCCAGCAUCUGUUGCUAGAGAAGUAAGGCUAACUUAGACUAUCCAACCCCAUUUUGAGCUGUCAAAUGACUGCAGCCAGAAGAAUGACCCCCAGGUGAGAUGAGCAGAAGAACCACCUAACUGAGCCCAAACCCAAUCCCUGACCCACAGAACCCUGA
rnacentral:lncRNA from 10 species